CAAGUCGAACGGGAUCCAUGAUGUAGCAAUACAUCGGAAGAUCUAGUGGCGAACGGGUGAGGAUCACGUGAGAAACCUGCCCCAGACUCUGGGAUAACAAUUGGAAACGAUUGCUAAUACCGGAUGACGUCGGAGAACCGCAUGGUUCACUGACGAAAGAUAUUUCGGUUUGGGAGGGUCUCGCGGCCUAUCAGCUUGUUGGUGGGGUAAUGGCCUACCAAGGCAACGACGGGUAGCUGGUCUGAGAGGAUGAUCAGCCACACUGGGACUGAGACACGGCCCAGACUCCUACGGGAGGCAGCAGUGGGGAAUCUUGCGCAAUGGGCGAAAGCCUGACGCAGCAACGCCGCGUGCGGGAUGAAGGCCUUCGGGCUGUAAACCGCUUUCAGCAGGAACGAAAAUGACGGUACCUGCAGAAGAAGGAGCGGCCAACUACGUGCCAGCAGCCGCGGUGACACGUAGGCUCCAAGCGUUGUCCGGAUUUAUUGGGUGUAAAGAGCUCGUAGGCGGUUUAGUAAGUCGGGUGUGAAAACUCUGGGCUUAACCCGGAGACGCCAUCCGAUACUGCUAUGACUUGAGUUCAGGAGGGGAGCGGGGAAUUCCUAGUGUAGCGGUGAAAUGCGCAGAUAUUAGGAGGAACACCGGUGGCGAAGGCGCCGCUCUGGACUGAAACUGACGCUGAGGAGCGAAAGCAUGGGUAGCAAACAGGAUUAGAUACCCUGGUAGUCCAUGCCGUAAACGGUGGGCACUAGGUGUGGGUUCCAACUAACGGGAUCCGCGCCGUCGCUAACGCAUUAAGUGCCCCGCCUGGGGAGUACGGUCGCAAGACUAAAACUCAAAGGAAUUGACGG
rnacentral:rRNA from 1 species